CACAGGGAUGUAAUGUUUUCCAGGCUUCAUGUGUGUGUAGAAGUGCUCAUAGUAUGGAGACUUCUGUUUCAGGACCAGACUGUUGCCCAGCAUCAGAUGUGAUGCUGUGUCUACCAAACUGCUCAUUUGUGGGAGGGAAAGAUGAUUCAGAGGAUACCAGAGCCUUUCUCACAUUGAAGAAGUCAAAGAAGCCAAUCAGUGGUGCUUUGCCGAGCUCCUUCUCCUGCUGCCGGAAGAAGAAGUACGCUGUGAUCCCGGCGUCCAGCAGCUGAGGGUUGUCUUUGGACAGGGUGACCAGGUGGAGGCGCUCUUCCCGACUGUCUCGGCCUCUAAAGAAAGCCUUCUCUGUCUUAUUGGACCACACCGGGCCUGUGAAACAAAGGCUCAUAACUGUCUACACAAUUUACUGCUCCAUGUAAUAAAAGAGUUACCAUAA